UACGAAGGGGGCGAGCGUUGUUCGGAUUUACUGGGCGUAAAGGGCGCGCAGGCGGCUUAUUUUGUCAGGCGUGAAAGCCCCGGGCUUAACCUGGGAACUGCGUUUGAUACGGAUGGGCUAGAGUUCGGGAGAGGAGAGUGGAAUUCCCAGUGUAGAGGUGAAAUUCGUAGGUAUUGGGAAGAACACCGGUGGCGAAGGCGGCUCUCUGGACCGAGACUGACGCUGAGGCGCGAAAGCGUGGGGAGCAAACAGG
rnacentral:misc_RNA from 1 species